CGUAGGUAGCGGUGGAGCCUGCGACCCUGCUCGCCCUCGAGCGGGCGGGAGGGACUCGUCUAGGGUUUUCGCAAGAUCCAACUGACAGCCCCUGAAAUCUGCUCGCGCACAGAGUAGAGGGCUGCAGGUGUCCGGUGAGACGCGGUCAGCGGGUUGAGGAGGAUCGUGCGGGUAGAGAAGAGAGGGCGAGUACCCCUGCGGCCCCUGACUGCGAUCAGAACAUGCAUCAUUGUUAGAACCAUCACCCUGAAGCUAGCUUGGACACCAUUAAAAGGGCUCAUCAACUGCAAAUGGAUAAAAGUGUCUGAUAUUUGUGAAGACAGAGUUUCAGGGCUUCUACCUAAAGCUACACUCUCCAGAAGCCCCUGCGUGGCUUGCCUGCACCCACCCCCACCCCACCUGGUCACAACUUGGCUGUGUGUGGUGUUUCUUGGCAACUAGAACAGACUCCUCCAGCAGCUCCACAGGCCCCUUGUCUUCAGUGAGCAGAAGACUACAGAAGCUGGCUACUGAAGAGGCUGACCAAGUGAUAGAGCUCCUCCUUGGCCCUCCUUAGCACACUUGCCACAGAGAGUGAGUGUUGGAUGUUACUCAUUUGUGCUCACCACCUGCAGGGACUUCAGAGGGAUUGUCAGACCCUGUUGAACUAAGGGCUGCCCUCUAAGGAUCUCCCCAGGAGGCUGCCCAUAGAGAGAGGUGGCCAGCCUAGGGUUUCCACUGCCUUAGGUUCUACAUGGACACCCCCCGCCAGGGCUGAGGCAAUCAGUAUCUCUUCACCUACCUGUAAUCCACAUAGCAACUGGAAAAUUCUGCCUUCUGCUAUUUUUUGUCCUUUUGUUCGUUUUUUGGGGGUAGGAAGAGUUUUAACUGCUGCUUCAAUUCCUUUAGUAGUUAGAGGACGAUUCAGGAUUUCUUUUUCUUUUUGAGUCAGUUUUGGUAAGUUAAAGCGUUCUAGAAAUUGGUCUGUUUUGUCUGCAUUUUCAGAUUUAUUGACUUAAACUUCCCUUAUAUUUUUAUUCGCUGCUGUAUAUAAUCUGUAGUUAUGUCUCCUUUUUCAUUGCUGAUAUUGGUUAUUUGUGCCUUCUCACUUUUUUUCUUGAUCAAUCUCGCCAGAGGUUUGUCUAUUUUAUUAGUGUUUUCAAAGAACCAACUUUUGGC